rnacentral:lncRNA from 1 species
AACGUCAUAUCUAAAUGAAGCAUCACAUGAUGUGCUAGAGCCUCCACAUCUCAGAAACUUUUUCGGUGGGAAUAUCGAGACAUUUACUGGAAUUAAGUCCGGCAGGUUAAACUAAAUUUAGGGAGAUGGCUUCUCCGAUCACCAACAAAUUCGGCCGACAUUAUGAAGGACGUGCAGGCCGAAUGUGCCGCGAUGCUAAAUUUAACACAUUGACA